UACGGAGGGUGCAAGCGUUAUUCGGAUUUACUGGGCGUAAAGCGCACGCAGGCGGUUGAUUGAGUCAGUUGUGAAAUCCCCAGGCUUAACCCGGGAACUGCAUUUGAUACUGGUCAUCUAGAGUCCUGUGGAGGGAGGUAGAAUUCCAGGUGUAGCGGUGAAAUGCGUAGAUAUGUGGAGGAACACCGGUGGCGAAGGCGGCCCCCUGGACAAAGACUGACGCUGAGGUGCGAAAGCGUGGGGAGCAAGCAGG
rnacentral:rRNA from 1 species